UAUACCUUGGUUCGGGGAUAAGCAAAAAAUGGCUAUUCCAGGGAUAGUUAUAAAUUGAGGUAUAAGCGGAGAUUAAAUCAGUUUUACGUUUGGAUGAAAAUUAGGUUAGUCCUGAAAAUAAAAAAAAUAGCGUUUGCUUAUGUAAGAUGGAAUAAGAAUUAAAGUGGGUAGUUAUAAAUAAAAAAUAAUGAUAUUAUCCUUCUCAUUAUAUUUGAAUUUGAAUUUUUAAAUUAUAUAUAUAUAGAGUUUUGCUAGAAUACUAUCGGUAGUAAACGAGCCGUUUUACUACCGAUUUGUUUUCAAAGAUAGAACUUCCAAAUUGACGGUCGGCUCCGUUGAAUAUGAUCUAUACCACUUGAAGUGUUUAGAAAUCAAAUUUCAAAUCUUUUCGACAUCAUUUGCCUAAUGAUCAAAGGGUUUCAAAAUUUGUAAUUUUAAUGGUCGAUAAGAGGCGUUUUCUUGUUUAACGGCGUAAAGAUAUCCAAAUCAAUUGAAUUUUUGUAUUUUUGUUAGAAAAUUCUUUAAACUAUUUAAAACAAGAUCUAUACUCUUGAUCUUGAUUACAAGACUCCUAUCAUCAUUUUUUAAAGAGUAUUCAUUUUCAGCCAUUCAUUUUUCUAUUCACUUGAUGGAUAAAAAAUCAAUAUCGAAAGUGCGUGAAAUUUGAUUUCUAGAUAGUUUAAAUGGUUUAGAUCAUAUUUAAUGGAGCCGAUCGUCAAUUUGGAAGCUCUAUCAUUGAAAACAAAUCGGUAGUAAAACGGCUCGUUUACUACCGAUAGUAUUCUAGCUCAACUCUAUAUAUAUAUAUAUAUAUAUAUAUAUAUAUAUAUAGAAUUAGACUGGAAUACUAUUAAUAGUAAAACCCUCUUAUUGCUAUCAAGUUUUUAACCCUUGGAUGAAAAAUUGUAGGGUUAUGAUGAUAUUAGUCAGUUAGAGUUGAGUGGUCCCCCUAGGGUUGAGUGGUCCCCACUGGGUUAUAGUAUUUAAUCCAAUGGUUAGUAAUGAUAAAAAGAGUUGAUCUAAAGGUUAAAAAACUGGUAGCAACAAUGGGAUUUUGCUACUAAUAGUAGUCCAGUCCAACUAUAUAUAUAUAUAU
rnacentral:lncRNA from 1 species